rnacentral:rRNA from 1 species
GUAAGGUGAUAUGAACCGUUAUAACCGGCGAUUUCCGAAUGGGGAAACCCAGUGUGUUUCGACACACUAUCAUUAACUGAAUCCAUAGGUUAAUGAGGCGAACCGGGGGAACUGAAACAUCUAAGUACCCCGAGGAAAAGAAAUCAACCGAGAUUCCCCCAGUAGCGGCGAGCGAACGGGGAGCAGCCCAGAGCCUGAAUCAGUGUGUGUGUUAGUGGAAGCGUCUGGAAAGGCGCGCGAUACAGGGUGACAGCCCCGUACACAAAAAUGCACAUGCUGUGAGCUCGAUGAGUAGGGCGGGACACGUGGUAUCCUGUCUGAAUAUGGGGGGACCAUCCUCCAAGGCUAAAUACUCCUGACUGACCGAUAGUGAACCAGUACCGUGAGGGAAAGGCGAAAAGAACCCCGGCGAGGGGAGUGAAAAAGAACCUGAAACCGUGUACGUACAAGCAGUGGGAGCACGCUUAGGCGUGUGACUGCGUACCUUUUGUAUAAUGGGUCAGCGACUUAUAUUCUGUAGCAAGGUUAACCGAAUAGGGGAGCCGAAGGGAAACCGAGUCUUAACUGGGCGUUAAGUUGCAGGGUAUAGACCCGAAACCCGGUGAUCUAGCCAUGGGCAGGUUGAAGGUUGGGUAACACUAACUGGAGGACCGAACCGACUAAUGUUGAAAAAUUAGCGGAUGACUUGUGGCUGGGGGUGAAAGGCCAAUCAAACCGGGAGAUAGCUGGUUCUCCCCGAAAGCUAUUUAGGUAGCGCCUCGUGAAUUCAUCUCCGGGGGUAGAGCACUGUUUCGGCAAGGGGGUCAUCCCGACUUACCAACCCGAUGCAAACUGCGAAUACCGGAGAAUGUUAUCACGGGAGACACACGGCGGGUGCUAACGUCCGUCGUGAAGAGGGAAACAACCCAGACCGCCAGCUAAGGUCCCAAAGUCAUGGUUAAGUGGGAAACGAUGUGGGAAGGCCCAGACAGCCAGGAUGUUGGCUUAGAAGCAGCCAUCAUUUAAAGAAAGCGUAAUAGCUCACUGGUCGAGUCGGCCUGCGCGGAAGAUGUAACGGGGCUAAACCAUGCACCGAAGCUGCGGCAGCGACGCUGAUGCGUUGUUGGGUAGGGGAGCGUUCUGUAAGCCUGCGAAGGUGUGCUGUGAGGCAUGCUGGAGGUAUCAGAAGUGCGAAUGCUGACAUAAGUAACGAUAAAGCGGGUGAAAAGCCCGCUCGCCGGAAGACCAAGGGUUCCUGUCCAACGUUAAUCGGGGCAGGGUGAGUCGACCCCUAAGGCGAGGCCGAAAGGCGUAGUCGAUGGGAAACAGGUUAAUAUUCCUGUACUUGGUGUUACUGCGAAGGGGGGACGGAGAAGGCUAUGUUGGCCGGGCGACGGUUGUCCCGGUUUAAGCGUGUAGGCUGGUUUUCCAGGCAAAUCCGGAAAAUCAAGGCUGAGGCGUGAUGACGAGGCACUACGGUGCUGAAGCAACAAAUGCCCUGCUUCCAGGAAAAGCCUCUAAGCAUCAGGUAACAUCAAAUCGUACCCCAAACCGACACAGGUGGUCAGGUAGAGAAUACCAAGGCGCUUGAGAGAACUCGGGUGAAGGAACUAGGCAAAAUGGUGCCGUAACUUCGGGAGAAGGCACGCUGAUAUGUAGGUGAGGUCCCUCGCGGAUGGAGCUGAAAUCAGUCGAAGAUACCAGCUGGCUGCAACUGUUUAUUAAAAACACAGCACUGUGCAAACACGAAAGUGGACGUAUACGGUGUGACGCCUGCCCGGUGCCGGAAGGUUAAUUGAUGGGGUUAGCGCAAGCGAAGCUCUUGAUCGAAGCCCCGGUAAACGGCGGCCGUAACUAUAACGGUCCUAAGGUAGCGAAAUUCCUUGUCGGGUAAGUUCCGACCUGCACGAAUGGCGUAAUGAUGGCCAGGCUGUCUCCACCCGAGACUCAGUGAAAUUGAACUCGCUGUGAAGAUGCAGUGUACCCGCGGCAAGACGGAAAGACCCCGUGAACCUUUACUAUAGCUUGACACUGAACAUUGAGCCUUGAUGUGUAGGAUAGGUGGGAGGCUUUGAAGUGUGGACGCCAGUCUGCAUGGAGCCGACCUUGAAAUACCACCCUUUAAUGUUUGAUGUUCUAACGUUGACCCGUAAUCCGGGUUGCGGACAGUGUCUGGUGGGUAGUUUGACUGGGGCGGUCUCCUCCUAAAGAGUAACGGAGGAGCACGAAGGUUGGCUAAUCCUGGUCGGACAUCAGGAGGUUAGUGCAAUGGCAUAAGCCAGCUUGACUGCGAGCGUGACGGCGCGAGCAGGUGCGAAAGCAGGUCAUAGUGAUCCGGUGGUUCUGAAUGGAAGGGCCAUCGCUCAACGGAUAAAAGGUACUCCGGGGAUAACAGGCUGAUACCGCCCAAGAGUUCAUAUCGACGGCGGUGUUUGGCACCUCGAUGUCGGCUCAUCACAUCCUGGGGCUGAAGUAGGUCCCAAGGGUAUGGCUGUUCGCCAUUUAAAGUGGUACGCGAGCUGGGUUUAGAACGUCGUGAGACAGUUCGGUCCCUAUCUGCCGUGGGCGCUGGAGAACUGAGGGGGGCUGCUCCUAGUACGAGAGGACCGGAGUGGACGCAUCACUGGUGUUCGGGUUGUCAUGCCAAUGGCACUGCCCGGUAGCUAAAUGCGGAAGAGAUAAGUGCUGAAAGCAUCUAAGCACGAAACUUGCCCCGAGAUGAGUUCUCCCUGACCCUUUAAGGGUCCUGAAGGAACGUUGAAGACGACGACGUUGAUAGGCCGGGUGUGUAAGCGCAGCGAUGCGUUGAGCUAACCGGUACUAAUGAACCGUGAGGCUUAACCU